AAAUUGAAGAGUUUGAUCAUGGCUCAGAUUGAACGCUGGCGGCAGGCCUAACACAUGCAAGUCGAGCGGUAGCACAGAGAGCUUGCUCUCGGGUGACGAGCGGCGGACGGGUGAGUAAUGUCUGGGAAACUGCCUGAUGGAGGGGGAUAACUACUGGAAACGGUAGCUAAUACCGCAUAACGUCGCAAGACCAAAGUGGGGGACCUUCGGGCCUCAUGCCAUCAGAUGUGCCCAGAUGGGAUUAGCUAGUAGGUGGGGUAACGGCUCACCUAGGCGACGAUCCCUAGCUGGUCUGAGAGGAUGACCAGCCACACUGGAACUGAGACACGGUCCAGACUCCUACGGGAGGCAGCAGUGGGGAAUAUUGCACAAUGGGCGCAAGCCUGAUGCAGCCAUGCCGCGUGUGUGAAGAAGGCCUUCGGGUUGUAAAGCACUUUCAGCGGGGAGGAAGGCGGUGAGGUUAAUAACCUCAUCGAUUGACGUUACCCGCAGAAGAAGCACCGGCUAACUCCGUGCCAGCAGCCGCGGUAAUACGGAGGGUGCAAGCGUUAAUCGGAAUUACUGGGCGUAAAGCGCACGCAGGCGGUCUGUCAAGUCGGAUGUGAAAUCCCCGGGCUUAACCUGGGAACUGCAUUCGAAACUGGCAGGCUAGAGUCUUGUAGAGGGGGGUAGAAUUCCAGGUGUAGCGGUGAAAUGCGUAGAGAUCUGGAGGAAUACCGGUGGCGAAGGCGGCCCCCUGGACAAAGACUGACGCUCAGGUGCGAAAGCGUGGGGAGCAAACAGGAUUAGAUACCCUGGUAGUCCACGCCGUAAACGAUGUCGAUUUGGAGGUUGUGCCCUUGAGGCGUGGCUUCCGGAGCUAACGCGUUAAAUCGACCGCCUGGGGAGUACGGCCGCAAGGUUAAAACUCAAAUGAAUUGACGGGGGCCCGCACAAGCGGUGGAGCAUGUGGUUUAAUUCGAUGCAACGCGAAGAACCUUACCUGGUCUUGACAUCCACAGAACUUUCCAGAGAUGGAUUGGUGCCUUCGGGAACUGUGAGACAGGUGCUGCAUGGCUGUCGUCAGCUCGUGUUGUGAAAUGUUGGGUUAAGUCCCGCAACGAGCGCAACCCUUAUCCUUUGUUGCCAGCGGUUCGGCCGGGAACUCAAAGGAGACUGCCAGUGAUAAACUGGAGGAAGGUGGGGAUGACGUCAAGUCAUCAUGGCCCUUACGACCAGGGCUACACACGUGCUACAAUGGCAUAUACAAAGAGAAGCGACCUCGCGAGAGCAAGCGGACCUCAUAAAGUAUGUCGUAGUCCGGAUUGGAGUCUGCAACUCGACUCCAUGAAGUCGGAAUCGCUAGUAAUCGUAGAUCAGAAUGCUACGGUGAAUACGUUCCCGGGCCUUGUACACACCGCCCGUCACACCAUGGGAGUGGGUUGCAAAAGAAGUAGGUAGCUUAACCUUCGGGAGGGCGCUUACCACUUUGUGAUUCAUGACUGGGGUGAAGUCGUAACAAGGUAACCGUAGGGGAACCUGCGGUUGGAUCACCUCCUUACCUUAAAGAA
rnacentral:rRNA from 1 species